ACUCCUACGGGAGGCAGCAGUGGGGAAUAUUGCACAAUGGGCGCAAGCCUGAUGCAGCCAUGCCGCGUGUAUGAAGAAGGCCUUCGGGUUGUAAAGUACUUUCAGCAGUGAGGAAGGUGGUGUCGUUAAUAGCGGCAUCAUUUGACGUUAGCUGCAGAAGAAGCACCGGCUAACUCCGUGCCAGCAGCCGCGGUAAUACGGAGGGUGCGAGCGUUAAUCGGAAUUACUGGGCGUAAAGCGCAUGCAGGUGGUUUGUUAAGUCAGAUGUGAAAGCCCGGGGCUCAACCUCGGAAUUGCAUUUGAAACUGGCAGACUAGAGUACUGUAGAGGGGGGUAGAAUUUCAGGUGUAGCGGUGAAAUGCGUAGAGAUCUGAAGGAAUACCGGUGCGAAGGCGGCCCCCUGGACAGAUACUGACACUCAGAUGCGAAAGCGUGGGGAGCAAAACAGGAUUAGAUACCCUGGUAGGAUAGCG
rnacentral:rRNA from 1 species